UACGUAGGGGGCUAGCGUUGUCCGGAAUCAUUGGGCGUAAAGCGCGUGUAGGCGGUCCGGUAAGUCCGCUGUGAAAGUCGGGGGCUCAACCCUCGAAUGCCGGUGGAUACUGUCGGGCUAGAGUGCGGAAGAGGCGAGUGGAAUUCCUGGUGUAGCGGUGAAAUGCGCAGAUAUCAGGAGGAACACCUAUUGCGAAGGCAGCUCGCUGGGACGGUACUGACGCUGAGACGCGAAAGCGUGGGGAGCAAACAGG
rnacentral:rRNA from 1 species